GUGCUUGUUUUGGGAGUACAUAUUGUAAAAUUGGAAUGAAAAUACCUAGACUAGCAUGGACCCUGAUCAAAGAUGACAGACAAAUUUGUGAAGCGUUCGUAUUUUUA
ensembl:snRNA U6 U6 spliceosomal RNA